rnacentral:rRNA from 1 species
UUGUCUCAAAGAUUAAGCCAUGCAUGUCUAAGUACAACCGAAUUAAGGUAAAACCGCGAAAGGCUCAUUAAAUCAGUUAUGGUUCCUUAGAUCGUACCCACAUUUACUUGGAUAACUGUGGUAAUUCUAGAGCUAAUACAUGCUUACAGAACUCCGACCCGAGAGGGAAGGAGCGCUUUUAUUAGAUCAAAACCGAUCGGCGCCGGCCUCGCGGCCGGUCGUCGCGCAUCUCGGCGAAUCGAAAUAACUUUGCUGAUCGCACGGUCUAGCACCGGCGACGCAUCUUUCAAAUGUCUGCUCUAUCAACUGUCGAUGGUAGGUUAUGCGCCUACCAUGGUCGUAACGGGUAACGGGGAAUCAGGGUUCGAUUCCGGAGAGGGAGCCUGAGAAACGGCUACCACAUCCAAGGAAGGCAGCAGGCGCGCAAAUUACCCACUCCCGGCACGGGGAGGUAGUGACGAAAAAUAACGAUACGGGACUCGACCGAGGCCCCGUAAUUGGAAUGAGUACACUUUAAAUCCUUUAACGAGGAACAAUUGGAGGGCAAGUCUGGUGCCAGCAGCCGCGGUAAUUCCAGCUCCAAUAGCGUAUAUUAAAGUUGUUGCGGUUAAAAAGCUCGUAGUUGAAUCUGUGUGCCGCGCCGCCGGUUCAUCGCCAAUCGGUGUUAACUGGCGUGCUCGCGGUACGUCUUGCCGGUAGCUCCCGCCGCGGUGCUCUUCGCUGAGUGUCGAGGUAGGGCCGGCACGUUUACUUUGAACAAAUUAGAGUGCUUAAAGCAGGCCGAAAUUUCGCCUGAAUAAUGUGUGCAUGGAAUAAUGGAAUAGGACCUCGGUUCUAUUUUGUUGGUUUUACGGACCAUGAGGUAAUGAUUAAUAGGGACAGAUGGGGGCAUUCGUAUUGCGACGUUAGAGGUGAAAUUCUUGGAUCGUCGCAAGACGGACUUAAGCGAAAGCAUUUGCCAAAGAUGUUUUCAUUAAUCAAGAGCGAAAGUCAGAGGUUCGAAGGCGAUCAGAUACCGCCCUAGUUCUGACCAUAAACGAUGCCAGCUAGCGAUCCGUCGAUGUCCCUCCGAUGACUCGACGGGCAGCUUCCGGGAAACCAAAGCUUUUCGGUUCCGGGGGAAGUAUGGUUGCAAAGCUGAAACUUAAAGGAAUUGACGGAAGGGCACCACCAGGAGUGGAGCCUGCGGCUUAAUUUGACUCAACACGGGAAACCUCACCAGGCCCGGACACCGGAAGGAUUGACAGAUUGAGAGCUCUUUCUUGAUUCGGUGGGUGGUGGUGCAUGGCCGUUCUUAGUUGGUGGAACGAUUUGUCUGGUUAAUUCCGAUAACGAACGAGACUC